UCUAUGUAUAACCAGUAAAAUGUGACGUAAUUGUGUUUACCUGUAUUGUACCCGUUUGUCCAGUUUGACCAGGGUGGGUCGAUGGGCGUGUCGGUGAGUGAAAUUGUGUCGGUGAGUGAAAUGAAUGCGCGAAUGUGUGGGGUGUCAUAUAAAAGGAGUUACCUUAGCGGCGGGCGUUGCAUUCUAGCCAGAGCAUUUGACACGAUCACCUUCGGGGAUCAGCGCUACUUGACAUGACGGGCCAAUAUUUCCUACUGCGUGGCAACAUGCCGGUAUCAGGGGUUCCUUUGUGUUUCUGAAUCCUGUACUAUAUCUGUACAGUAUACGUCGGCCCGGGGAAAUGAAUAAAUAAAUGUAUACAGAGAAAUGGAGUUUGUCAACUGUUUUUCCUGCGACAAAUGGCGACCACGACGAGACCUGGGAACCAAAUUUGGAAAAUGAAAACGACGUCACCAUCACAGUUAUAAAGGAACCCCGAGCGGACCCAGCGAACAACUGCUACACAGCCAGCUAUGACCUGACAUGUGCAGUUAUUUAUGAGGGAAUGGAGGGAAUGGUAUGUUAGGCCAACUACACUUAUCUCACCACCGCGGGAAGUCGUCUGUUAAUGUGAGAUAAUAUUUAUUUAACACCGGUGUGAAGUGUAUGGUAUCACACAAAAAUACGACGACCCCAGUUACAGUGAGUGCGCCAAGAAAUAUAGAGGAAGCGUCGACUCGACCAAGAACAACAACAACAACCGCGGAGCUCAAAACGCGCCCGGAUGAAUCAAACGCGAGAGUGACCAGGACGAUCGAACUUGAAGUGAACAGUUUUGUGGGACGAUUUGGAAAGCAACGACACUUUAAAUUCACGUUUUUCAUGGAAACACCCAAGGCCAGCAUCAGAACAGAGGGUCAUGAAACUACAGGAAGAAUGAAGGGGAC